GUUGUUGCGGUUGAAAAGCUCGUAGUUGGGUUUCUGCGGAGGAAGCGCGGUCCGCACUUGGUGCGUGUAUCUGGUCUACCUACGCAUCUUCCAGUGAAACGCUACUGCGCUUUAUUGCGUGGCGCGGCAAUCUGGACUUUUACUUUGAGGAAAUUGGAGUGUUUACAGCGAGCGAUUGGUUUGAACAUAUUAGCAUGGAAUAAUAACCUAGAACCUUGGUUCUAUUUUGUUGGUUUCUAGACUAGGGUAAUGAUCAAUAGGGAUAAUUGGGGGCAUUUGUAUCAACACGUCAGAGGUGAAAUUCUUGGAUUGUGUUACGACGAACCACUGCGAAAGCAUUUGCCAAGGAUGUUUUCAUUGAUCAAGAACGAAAGUGCAGGGAUCGAAGACGAUUAGAUACCGUCGUAGUCUGCACCGUAAACUAUGCCGAUUAAAGAUUGGAGGUCGUUCUUAUUGUGGCUCCUUCAGUAAUUUAUGAGAAAUCAAAAUUCUUGGGUUCCGGGGGGAGUAUGGUCGCAAGGCUGAAACUUAAAGGAAUUGACGGAAGGGCACCACCAGGAGUGGAGCCUGCGGCUUAAUUUGACUCAACACGGGGAAACUCACCAGGUCCAGACAUAGCAAGGAUUGACAGAAUGACAGCUCUUUCUUGAUUCUGUGGGUGGUGGUGCAUGGCCGUUCUUAGUUGGUGGAGUGAUUUGUCUGGUUAAUUCCGUUAACGAACGAGAUCUUAUCCUGCUAAAUAGGAACGUGUGUCUUCGGACAUGCAGGUUGCUUCUUAGAGGGACUUUGCGAAUUGCAGCGUAGGGAAGGUUGAGGCAAUAACAGGUCUGUGAUGCCCUUAGAUGUUCUGGGCUGCACGCGCGCUACACUGAUGCGUUCAACGAGU
rnacentral:rRNA from 1 species